rnacentral:tRNA from 1 species
UGGAGUUGUAGCUCAGUGGUAGAGCACUUGCCUCACACGUGUGAGGUACUGGGUUUGAUCCUCAGCACUAUAU